rnacentral:lncRNA from 1 species
GGACGGAGAGAGUAAUAUUAAUUAUCAAAUAAUAGUUGCAAUAUUGUCCAAGAUCUAAAAAUUUGAAGUCCGGAGGUUCAUUCCGGGGCAGAGCUUAGUUGAGGCCAACGUGGACUAUGCUCCCUUUGCUCAACUUAAUCUCCAUUGAUUAAAUAGUAAUUUCGGUAUAUUCAUAGGUGUCUAUAGAAAUCACGAUGGUUUUUGCAUUGGAAGUGUCCUUAUACAAUAUUUCCAACACUAUGAAACAUGCAUGUUGACACUAGCGUUGGGACUUGAGAGGUUUCAUCUCAUCCGAGGUCUCUAAUCUUGUGUUAUUGUGUACGGCCUGUGAAAAAAAUAAAAGUAUGCAUUGAAGGGAUUGUUUCAUCCAUUAACUCUUACAGUUCAAGACAGCGAAAUUGACACUUUCUAUUUGGGAUUGGCCUUCUAGUGUCUAGCUCCUAAUUUUACCAUUUGAAAGCCAGCUUAGUGAGUUUGUUAUGCAAAACAUUGUCUAUGUAUAUAUACGAAUUUUUUUGAAUUUUUUUUUUUGGUAAUGCUCUAUACAUUACCAGAAUCAACAAUGUUCCCUGCAACUAAUAUUACUAGGGAACAACAACCCAAAAUGUGUAGGGAAAUUGUUCCCAAGAGUUUUUACAAAGGAAAAGAUUUGUAGGAGAAAUACUGAGAAUAAUAGAAUAACAUGGAAACAAUAGUUUCCCUACUUAUCUGGAUGGUAGUGAACCUUGCUUACAUGUCACAUUUGCAAAGUUUCUUUCCCUAUAGUUUUUCAACCCUAAUGAUGAAACAUUUCCAUUUUCAAUUUUUGUAAAAAUAAUCCUUAAUUUUAAAAUCAGGCAUGAGACAUUGAUACAUUAAUUUCGUAUGACACAGAUUUUCAUAACUUUCUUGCUAAGAAAUGAACAAUCUUGAAUCUAGACACAUUCUACGUAGAAGCACAAUUAAUGUCUGCAGCUCACAAUAUAAUGCCCACUAAUUUAUGUAAACAUUCUUCUCAAAUAUGCACAGAGCAAAUUACCAUUGGAGAAUCUAAAAUUUCUACGGCGCGGCUACUGGCUAGAUCUACUUCUUGUUACUGAAGUUUUGGGCCUUUUUUGGCUUCCUGCAAUAUAAUCCUUCUGAGGCUAGUCACUAUGCAUAUUAUACGCAAAAUUUUGUAUUCUUUAUGAUGCUCCAUAUAUAGGGCCUUUAGAUAGACAAAUAACUUUAAGGCCUUUCAAACUAGAACCUGAACCUAGUCCAAUUGGAGAGGCCAUAAAAUUAUGCUUUUAUUCUUUUUAGAGAGAGCUAGGGUAUUUGGCAAAUAUUAUCGUUUCAAAAUGGUCGAGAUGCAACAGUUUUUUUUUAGAUUUUAGGACCAUGGUAUUGUUAAAGACAUAUAUUUUGGAAUUUUAUAAAAAAACUAUAGUGGAGACCUUUUUUUCUUUCUAAAUCCACAAUUUUAUACGUUACUGGCUUGUAAACUACAUUAUUCAUGGU